AUUGAACGCUGGCGGCAUGCCUUACACAUGCAAGUCGAACGGUAACGGGUCCUUCGGGAUGCCGACGAGUGGCGAACGGGUGAGUAAUAUAGCGGAACGUGCCCAGUAGUGGGGGAUAACUGCUCGAAAGAGCAGCUAAUACCGCAUACGACCUGAGGCUGAAAGGGGGGGAUCGCAAUACCUCUCGCUAUUGGAGCGGCCGAUAUCAGAUUAGCUAGUUGUUGGGGUAAAGGCCUACCAAGGCAACGAUCUGUAGUUGGUCUGAGAGGACGACCAGCCACACUGGGACUGAGACACGGCCCAGACUCCUACGGGAGGCAGCAGUGGGGAAUUUUGGACAAUGGGCGCAAGCCUGACCCAGCAAUGCCGCGUGCAGGAAGAAGGCCUUCGGGUUGUAAACUGCUUUUGUCAGGGAAGAAAUCUUCUGGGCUAAUACCCCGGGAGGAUGACGGUACCUGAAGAAUAAGCACCGGCUAACUACGUGCCAGCCGCCGCGGUAA
rnacentral:rRNA from 1 species